rnacentral:rRNA from 1 species
AGUUUGAUCAUGGCUCAGAACGAACGCUGGCGGCAGGCUUAACACAUGCAAGUCGAGCGCAUCCUUCGGGGUGAGCGGCGGACGGGUUAGUAACGCGUGGGAACGUGCCUUUUGCUACGGGAUAGCCCAGGGAAACUUGGAUUAAUACCGUAUACGCCCGAGAGGGGAAAGAUUUAUCGGCAAGAGAUCGGCCCGCGUUGGAUUAGGUAGUUGGUGGGGUAACGGCCUACCAAGCCGACGAUCCAUAGCUGGUUUGAGAGGAUGAUCAGCAACACUGGGACUGAGACACGGCCCAGACUCCUACGGGAGGCAGCAGUGGGGAAUCUUGGACAAUGGGGGCAACCCUGAUCCAGCCAUGCCGCGUGGACGAUGAAGGCCUUAGGGUUGUAAAGUCCUUUCGCCGGGGAAGAUAAUGACGGUACCCGGUAAAGAAGCCCCGGCUAACUCCGUGCCAGCAGCCGCGGUAAUACGGAGGGGGCUAGCGUUGUUCGGAAUUACUGGGCGUAAAGCGCACGUAGGCGGAUCAGUCAGUCAGGGGUGAAAUCCCGGGGCUCAACCCCGGAACUGCCUUUGAUACUGCUGAUCUGGAGGUCGAGAGAGGCGAGUGGAAUUCCGAGUGUAGAGGUGAAAUUCGUAGAUAUUCGGAGGAACACCAGUGGCGAAGGCGGCUCGCUGGCUCGAUACUGACGCUGA